rnacentral:rRNA from 1 species
GACGAACGCUGGCGGCGUGCCUAAUACAUGCAAGUCGAACGAGAGCGACCGGUGCUUGCACUGGUCAAUCUAGUGGCGAACGGGUGAGUAACACGUGGGUAACCUGCCCAUCAGAGGGGGAUAACAUUCGGAAACGGAUGCUAAAACCGCAUAGGUCUUCGAACCGCAUGGUUUGAAGAGGAAAAGAGGCGCAAGCUUCUGCUGAUGGAUGGACCCGCGGUGCAUUAGCUAGUUGGUGAGGUAACGGCUCACCAAGGCCGUGAUGCAUAGCCGACCUGAGAGGGUGAUCGGCCACAUUGGGACUGAGACACGGCCCAAACUCCUACGGGAGGCAGCAGUAGGGAAUCUUCCGCAAUGGACGCAAGUCUGACGGAGCAACGCCGCGUGAGUGAAGAAGGUUUUCGGAUCGUAAAACUCUGUUGUUAGAGAAGAACAAGUGCUAGAGUAACUGUUAGCGCCUUGACGGUAUCUAACCAGAAAGCCACGGCUAACUACGUGCCAGCAGCCGCGGUAAUACGUAGGCGGCAAGCGUUGUCCGGAUUUAUUGGGCGUAAAGCGAGCGCAGGCGGUUCCUUAAGUCUGAUGUGAAAGCCCCCGGCUCAACCGGGGAGGGUCAUUGGAAACUGGGGAACUUGAGUGCAGAAGAGGAGAGUGGAAUUCCAUGUGUAGCGGUGAAAUGCGUAGACAUAUGGAGGAACACCAGUGGCGAAGGCGACUCUCUGGUCUGUAACUGACGCUGAGGCUCGAAAGCGUGGGUAGCAAACAGG